rnacentral:rRNA from 1 species
UACGGGGGGGGCAAGCGUUGUUCGGAAUUACUGGGCGUAAAGGGCUCGUAGGUGGCCAACUAAGUCAGACGUGAAAUCCCUCGGCUUAACCGGGGAACUGCGUCUGAUACUGGAUGGCUUGAGAUUGGGAGAGGGAUGCGGAAUUCCAGGUGUAGCGGUGAAAUGCGUAGAUAUCUGGAGGAACACCGGUGGCGAAGGCGGCAUCCUGGACCAACACUGACGCUGAACGGCGAAAGCUAGGGGAGCAAACGGG